AAGUCGUAACAAGGUUUCCGUAGGUGAACCUGCGGAAGGAUCAUUAACACGUAUCCAACGUUAAACAACCCUGUGAACUUUCAGCCUGCUCUUGUAACCAUGAGGAACAGCAAUCCCGGUAAAUCAUUGCAAACAGUUUUGAUUCGGGACCUAAUUGAGCGGUAGAGGCAGUGGCAUGGCUUCCCCAAGCAGUUAGUGAAUGACAGUGUCACUGAUUGUGUAAGGAUAACGCCUCACGGUUGCCAGAGGUCGAUCACCGACCGGCAGACAUGUCACAGGGUCACCACGCCCCUUAAUCACCCCAAUUUGAAAUUGCUCCUACCUGGUGGUAACGCACUGGGUCAAAAAAACCGAACAACUGUUAACAAUGGAUAUCUUGGUUCUC
rnacentral:misc_RNA from 1 species